rnacentral:lncRNA from 1 species
AUGUCGAGAGGAAGACAAAAUCAACGCUUUAAGAAACUGAUCAUCCUUCGAGGUUUGCCAGGAGUUGGAAAGACAAGCAAGGCAGAAAUGCUCUGUGAUGAAUAUGCAGGACUUGGACUGGAAGGAGAAAUUUUCUCCACUGACAGGUACCAUGAAAGAACCGACUACACCAAAGGAAACUUUCAACGCAACCAUCGGCGGAAUAGAGAGGAUGUUUUUAUAGCCUUGAACAGAGGAGUGGAUCCGAUCAUCGUUGACAACACAAACAUUUCUCUUUGGGAGAUGUGGCCCUAUAUCCACAUGGGGAUGCGACAGGGUGACUAUGACAUCACUAUGAUGGAGCUGCCUAAAGGCUAUCCUCAGGAAAAAAUCUCCAUCAACAAGCUGUACAGAAAGUGUCAUGGUAAGAUCCCCAAGAAGAAGUUCAGGUCCUUUGAGGGUCGCUGGGAAAAAGCUGACAACAUCUGGAAUGUACUUAACGACAGCAAGUCCAUAAACCGCUGGAAGAGAAGCAAAGAGAAAUGGAACGUCCAGUGAUGAAGACAUGCUGGCCUUCUCCCCCCCCCAAAGUCCCCAAAAUCCAGAACAAACUCAAGAAAGCGUACAGUAUUAUAUAGAGCCCUUAUUGCAUGGAACUUCCUUCCAUCUCAUAUUGCUCAAAUAAACAGCAAACCUGGUUUCAAAAAACAGAUAAAGCAACACCUCGUGGCACAACACCUCUCCCCUAUUUGAACUAGAUAGUUUAUGUGUAUGUAUUGAUAUGUAGGCUACGUGUGCCUUUUAAAAAUGUAUGUAGUUCUGUCCUUGAGCUGUUCUUGUCUAAUGAUGUUCUGUAUUAUGUCAUUCUGUAUUAUGUUUCAUGUUUUGUGUUGACCCCAGGAAGAUUAGCUGCUGCUUUUGCAACAGCGAAGAGAUGCAUUGCAGUACUUAAUGCAGCUGGUGGCCACACCAGAUACUGACUGUUACUUUUGAUUUUGACCCCCCCUUUGUUCAGGGACACAUUAUUACAUUUCUGUUAGACACAUGUCUGAGAACUUGUUCAGUUUAUGUCUCAGUUGUUGAAUCUUGUCAUGUUCAUACAAAUAUUUACACAUGUUAAUUAAGUUUUGUGAAAAUAAACGCAGUGAGAGGAUGUUUCUUUUAAUGCUGAGUUUACAUGUGAGAGCCUGUAAAAACUAUGGCAAUUGCUGUAUAUCUCUCUGGAAUACUUACUUACCUUACUUACUUGUCUGUAUGCAUGUGUCUGUGCCUAUGUUUGUGUUGCUUCACAGUCCCGCUGUUCCAUAAGGUGUAUUUCUACCUGUUUUUUUAUGUAAUUAUACGGCUUGCAUCAGUUACCUGACCCAUGCCAAAUCUUUU